GGCGGUCAACGGGCUAUGCUGGCUUGACAGGGCUGGGCUCUUCAGAACAGAAGCAUGGAUCUCGGAAUCCCUGACCUGCUGGACGCGUGGCUGGAGCCCCCAGAGGAUAUCUUCUCGACAGGAUCCGUCCUGGAGCUGGGACUCCACUGCCCCCCUCCAGAGGUUCCGGGCCUUCAAGAGAGUGAGCCUGAAGAUUUCUUGAAGCUUUUCAUUGAUCCCAAUGAGGUGUACUGCUCAGAAGCAUCUCCUGGCAGUGACAGUGGCAUCUCUGAGGACCCCUGCCAUCCAGACAGUCCCCCUGCCCCCAGGGCAACCAGUUCUCCUACGCUCUAUGAGGUUGUCUAUGAGGCAGGGGCCCUGGAGAGGAUGCAGGGGGAAACUGGGCCAAAUGUAGGCCUUAUCUCCAUCCAGCUAGGUCAGUGUUCUUUGUGGGAAGGGGGAAAUGGCCCUUCGGGACUGGCCCUAACCAUGGGGUUAAGGGGGUUUACCCAACCUGUGCCACUACCCAGGCCCUGCGGCUGUCAGGGUGUUCCUAAGUCUCCUCUCUCCCAGCUACCUGUUCUCUACUCCAGAUCAGUGGAGCCCAGCAUUUAUGGUGCCUGAUUCCUGCAUGGUCAGUGAGCUGCCCUUUGAUGCUCAUGCCCACAUCCUGCCCAGAGCAGGCACCGUAGCCCCAGUGCCCUGUACAACCCUGCUGCCCUGUCAAACCCUGUUCCUGACCGAUGAGGAGAAGCGUCUGCUGGGGCAGGAAGGGGUUUCCCUGCCCUCUCACCUGCCCCUCACCAAGGCAGAGGAGAGGGUCCUCAAGAAGGUCAGGAGGAAAAUCCGUAACAAG
rnacentral:sRNA from 1 species